CAGCCGCCACGGGAAUACGUAGGUGGCAAGCGUUGUCCGGAAUUAUUGGGCGUAAAGGGCUCGCAGGCGGUUUCUUAAGUCUGAUGUGAAAGCCCCCGGCUCAACCGGGGAGGGUCACUGGAAACUAGGAAACUUGAGUGCAGAAGAGGAGAGUGGAAUUCCACGUGUAGCGGUGAAAUGCGUAGAGAUGUGGAGGAACACCAGUGGCGAAGGCGACUCUCUGGUCUGUAACUGACGCUGAGGAGCGAAAGCGUGGGGAGCGAACAGGAUUAGAUACCCGUGUAGUCCCUGUCUCUUAUAC
rnacentral:rRNA from 1 species